AGAUGUUAUGAUGAACACAAUGUUCAAUUGCUCUGAAGAAGCUGAGUGAAACGGCCUUUCUAAACGUCC